AGUGAACGCUGGCGGUAGGCCUAACACAUGCAAGUCGAACGGCAGCACAGGAGAGCUUGCUCUCUGGGUGGCGAGUGGCGGACGGGUGAGGAAUACAUCGGAAUCUACCUUUUCGUGGGGGAUAACGUAGGGAAACUUACGCUGAUACCGCAUACGACCUACGGGUGAAAGUGGGGGACCGCAAGGCCUCACGCGAUUAGAUGAGCCGAUGUCCGAUUAGCUAGUUGGCGGGGUAAUGGCCCACCAAGGCGACGAUCGGUAGCUGGUCUGAGAGGAUGAUCAGCCACACUGGAACUGAGACACGGUCCAGACUCCUACGGGAGGCAGCAGUGGGGAAUAUUGGACAAUGGGCGCAAGCCUGAUCCAGCCAUACCGCGUGGGUGAAGAAGGCCUUCGGGUUGUAAAGCCCUUUUGUUGGGAAAGAAAUCCUAUCGGUUAAUAACCGGUGGGGAUGACGGUACCCAAAGAAUAAGCACCGGCUAACUUCGUGCCAGCCGCCGCAGUAACAC
rnacentral:rRNA from 1 species